rnacentral:rRNA from 1 species
UACGGAGGGGGCUAGCGUUAUUCGGAAUUAUUGGGCGUAAAGGGCGUGUAGGCGGCUUCGUAAGUCUUAUGUGAAAGCCCUCGGCUCAACCGAGGAAUUGCACGAGAAACUGCGUGGCUCGAGUCCGGGAGAGGAUAGUGGAAUUCCCAGUGUAGCGGUGAAAUGCGUAGAUAUUGGGAGGAACACCGGUGGCGAAGGCGGCUAUCUGGACCGGUACUGACGCUGAUACGCGAAAGCCAGGGGAGCAAUCGGG